AGCAGUCGCCGCGGUAAUACGUAGGUGGCAAGCGUUGUCCGGAACUAUUGGGCGUAAAGGGCUCGCAGGCGGUUUCUUAAGUCUGAUGUGAAAGCCCCCGGCUCAACCGGGGAGGGUCAUUGGAAGCUGGGAAACUUGAGUGCAGAAGAGGAGAGUGGAAUUCCACGUGUAGCGGUGAAAUGCGGAGAGAUGUGGAGGAACACCAGUGGCGAAGGCGACUCUCUGGUCUGUAACUGACGCUGAGGAGCGAAAGCGUGGGGAGCGAACAGGAUUAGAUACCCGUGUAGUCCCUGUCUCUUAUAU
rnacentral:rRNA from 1 species